AUUUAUUCUUCUUAAAGUUUAUUUUUCUCUACUAUAUAAAGAAUCACUGUACAUGCCUUUAUAAUGUCCUCUCUCAUUUCUAAAUCAACUUGAUACCGUGUAAGGCCUUCAGGAUUUACGGUCUUAUUACCUAGUUGGUAGCUUCACUGGGGUUAGUAACUAAGAUGAAAUCAUGAACUUACGCUUGUAAUUUGUCCAUUGAAAAAGUAUACAUAUCUCUACAUGAUUUUGUUAAAAUUUGGUCAACCAAGUACGACUAGACAUACCUAAUAUCAUCAAGAUAUAUAGGUGUAGAAUUAUACACCUUCCCAAUCACUUCAUUGCAUCUAGUACAACUCAACUCUGAAUAGACGCUAUAAUUUUUGUAUUAGUAAACUGGCGAGCAACACAUGCAACAUACCAAAGACCAUCAUCACUCCUUUUAAACGUAUCCUCAACGCGUACACUAUUUUCUACUGCAUCUAAAUGAAAUAAUUAAUUACAUGGACAUUUCUUUUACCACAUACCACUCAAAGUGAAACUAAGAUAUUCUCGAUGAGAAAUAACCCAAGCAUUAGAAUCACCAACUAUUUGAAAACAUUUUUUACAUUGGAAGACGCUAGGUUGUGACUCUUUUUUAAAAUCAAUAUAGCCCGAAUGACUAGUUUCCGUCUGGGACAUACUUAUGGAAAGUUCAUUUUAUCUAGUAGUAGUCGUUAUUAAUUAGGUGCGCUUAACAUUCUAUAUAUGGUGAACCAAUAUAUAUCAGAUGUAGAAGCAAAAAUUAAAUAUAUUACAAAAUUAUAAAAAAAUAAA